rnacentral:rRNA from 1 species
ACGCUGGCGGCGUGCCUAAUACAUGCAAGUAGAACGCUGAAGCUUGGUGCUUCCACCGAGCGGAUGAGUUGCGAACGGGUGAGUAACGCGUAGGUAACCUGCCUCUUAGCGGGGGAUAACUAUUGGAAACGAUAGCUAAUACCGCAUAAAAGUCGACAUCGCAUGAUGUUGACUUGAAAGGUGCAAUUGCAUCACUAAGAGAUGGACCUGCGUUGUAUUAGCUAGUUGGUGAGGUAACGGCUCACCAAGGCGACGAUACAUAGCCGACCUGAGAGGGUGAUCGGCCACACUGGGACUGAGACACGGCCCAGACUCCUACGGGAGGCAGCAGUAGGGAAUCUUCGGCAAUGGGGGCAACCCUGACCGAGCAACGCCGCGUGAGUGAAGAAGGUUUUCGGAUCGUAAAGCUCUGUUGUAAGAGAAGAACGAGUGUGAGAGUGGAAAGUUCACACUGUGACGGUAACUUACCAGAAAGGGACGGCUAACUACGUGCCAGCAGCCGCGGUAAUACGUAGGUCCCGAGCGUUAUCCGGAUUUAUUGGGCGUAAAGCGAGCGCAGGCGGUUAGAUAAGUCUGAAGUUAAAGGCUGUGGCUUAACCAUAGUACGCUUUGGAAACUGUUUAACUUGAGUGCAGAAGGGGAGAGUGGAAUUCCAUGUGUAGCGGUGAAAUGCGUAGAUAUAUGGAGGAACACCGGUGGCGAAAGCGGCUCUCUGGUCUGUAACUGACGCUGAGGCUCGAAAGCGUGGGGAGCAAACAGGAUUAGAUACCCUGGUAGUCCACGCCGUAAACGAUGAGUGCUAGGUGUUGGGUCCUUUCCGGGACUCAGUGCCGCAGCUAACGCAUUAAGCACUCCGCCUGGGGAGUACGACCGCAAGGUUGAAACUCAAAGGAAUUGACGGGGGCCCGCACAAGCGGUGG